GGGUCAGUAGGUUGGUCGUGCCACCGGUACGUACUGGUCUCACUGAUUCCUCCUUCCUGAAGAACCGUAAUGCCAUUAAUUUGGUGUUGCGGGGAAACAGGACUGUUACUUUGAAAAAAUUAGGGUCUUUAAAGCAAGCUAACGCUUGAAUACAUUAGCAUGGAAUAAUGAAAUAGGACGAUCGAUCCUAUUUUGUUGGUUUCUAGGAUUGACGUA
rnacentral:rRNA from 1 species